ACGCUCGACACCUACUGGAGGCAGCAGUGGGGAAUAUUGGGCAAUGGAGGGAACUCUGACCCAGCAAUGCCGCGUGAGUGAAGAAGGUUUUCGGAUUGUAAAACUCUUUAAUCGGGGACGAAGAAAGUGACUGUACCCGAGGAAUAAGCAUCGGCUAACUACGUGCCAGCAGCCGCGGUAAUCUGAGCGGGCUGGCAAGGC
rnacentral:rRNA from 1 species